CCUACGGGCGGCAGCAGUGGGGGAUAUUGCACAAUGGGGGGAACCCUGAUGCAGCGACGCCGCGUGGGUGAAGGAGCGUUUCGGCGCGUAAAGCCCUAUCGGCAGGGAAGAAGAUGACGGUACCUGACCAAGAAGCCCCGGCUAACUACGUGCCAGCAGCCGCGGUAAUACGUAGGGGGCAAGCGUUAUCCGGAUUUACUGGGUGUAAAGGGGGCGCAGACGGCAAUGCAAGCCAGGAGUGAAAGCCCGGGGCCCAACCCCGGGACUGCUCUUGGAACUGCAUGGCUGGAGUACAGGAGGGGCAGGCGGAAUUCCUAGUGUAGCGGUGAAAUGCGUAGAUAUAUGGAGGAACACCAGUGGCGAAGGCGACGAUCUGGCCUGCAACUGACGCUCAGUCCCGAAAGCGUGGGGAGCAAAUAGGAUUAGAUACCCUAGUAGUC
rnacentral:rRNA from 1 species